rnacentral:lncRNA from 1 species
UGGGGGUCUCAGGACCCACAAUCCAACAACGGAAGUCAGAUAAUUUCUUUAGGGCCAGUUUUUACACAGAAAGGCAGGGGGCAAGUUAGAGGAGUAUUUUUCGGCUUUGUGCCUGGCUUUGGGGAAACAGGGCUCUGGCUUCUUCCACCUGCACUGGGGAAGAGAGAUUCUGAUGUCUAUGGCCAGCCUCAGGGGAGACUGAGCGGCCAGGGACAGGAGGGCAGGAGCAGGUGAGAAACAUUUUUGCUUCUGAGGCCUUCAUUGUGGGAUAUCAUUUUCUUAGCCCUCACAACGUGAACAGACUUUGUCCACAGAAGGAAUUCUGACUGAGCUGGACCCCACAUCCUGCCUCUCACCUGCUAGAGUCAGGCUCAGCAGCGUUCCUCGUCGGACCAGAGAGUCGGUGAAAACCUUUGGCAGAAGGUGGCGAUCUGCAAUGACCUGCGGGAAAGUCUUGGAGGAGAGCGGGAGCCAGGAAUUGGAAGGAUUACGUCACGGCUGGAACAUGUUGGUUCCACAAUGACAAAGGAAAUGGCAGGAUCCAGUGUAAUUUUUAGUGUAAUGGGGCCAAUAUUGUUCUUUGGGAGGAAAUAGAUUUUUUGAAUUUCUCAUUAUAAGUCAACAGGAAAAUAAGACAUUACGUACAAAAAAUGCACUCGCUUGCAACUUUCCGAGGAUAUAUUUGCUAUGUAAUGUGAGGUUCCUUAUUUUUAAGCUGAUAAUUUAAGUAACGUUAUUGUAAUUUACUUCUUAACUUUUAAAUGUUGUCUUUAUUUAGAAAUAACUGUACUUUUAGAAAAGGCAACAUAAAUCAAUACCAUGAAAUGAAUCACUUUGGCCUGUACCAGAGACAACUUUGCAUCUACAACGACGUCACAGAGUCUGGGGUUCUGAGCGCUGAUCCUAAGAGCUGGACUUCAGGGGCGGCGAUGGCGCUCUGCUGAACUGAACGAACCACGGCUCCUCACCCAUACGCGAGAAGCGGCAUCCCGGCCUUCGCGGCGCUCAGCCUGCGUGGGGCGGCAGCUGGCAUGAUCAGGACUAUUCAGGGGGAGCAAGAAACCGAGUGCCAGGCACAUCAGGCCAAGUCCUCAGCCCCACCUUACUUGUUCCCUGCAAACCAGAUCACAGUGACCCUACAGCACGUAUCAGUUUCCAAAGGCUGCCUUCACAAAUGACGGAAAACAUGGCUGGAAGCGGCGGAAAUGUAUUCUCACAGUCCUAGAGACUAGAAAUCCAAAACCCAGGUGUCGGCAGGGCCCCGCCCCUCCGAAGGCUCUGUGGGAAGAUCCUUCCUGGCUUCUCCGGCGCUUCGGCUCCGUGAAUUCUGGCCGUCCUUGGCCUGCAGCUGCAUCUUCCGAUCUCUGCCUCUGGCUUUGUGUGGCUGUCUUCCCCGUGACUGUGUCCAGAUUCUUAUAUAAGGACACCAGUCAUUGGCUUAAGGCGUACCCUAGUGGUCACCUUCACAGGUCUCAGGGGUUAGGACUUCAACUUCUAUUGCAGGACGACACAGUCCUACCCACUGCAGAGUAUUGCAUGCUGGACAUUUGGCCAAGCUGUUUCUUUGAAUUGUUUCACUUCAUCCUUGUAAAAAUCCUAGGAUGUAGAAACUCCAUUUUACAGAUAAGGAAACCGAGACUCGGAAAGUCAAAGCCAACCGCCCAGGGCCACACGGCUCUGAUACGGCAGAGGAGAACUCAAAUCCACUUCUCUCUUACCCUGGAAUCUUAACCCCUGGACUAGAUGCUACAUUCAAAAAUUGCAAGUCAUUACAGCCUAGUUAGAAUCUGUUUUCUGGGUCAAAUAACUGGUCAGAUCUGGAAUCAGAACUUUGAAGGGGUGUCAGCAAAAGCUCCAAGCUGGUGAGGGGGGAUCUUUGCCUGAGAAGGGAAUAAAGAACCAACUUAAACUUCAUCAACAGUUCCUGAUUAAUUGUUACAAAGUGUCAUCCAUAAAUUUCCCUUCGAUCUAAUAAUCCUCUCAGACGAUUUAACAAUAUCCCCAGCGAGUUGGCUUUAUUGAGGGCUGAGUUCCUGAGAAGGAAGGCAGCGACACAAAUAGCUCAAGUGCAUGGAGACAGUCGCUGGCCAGUCUUCCCAGCGCUGACAGCUCUGAAAUACAAUUAUCAGUGUGAUCUGCUUAAGAAUUCAUCAUCAGCUCCUGCCUUCUGAAGACUUAAAAAAAUACCGAGACAUACAAAGAGAAAGAGGUGAUAAGAAGGCAUCAUUUUCCUCCAGCCUCAUAACUGUAAAUUGAAGAAAAUUAUUUUCUUUGCCUCCAGCUCAUUGGCAUAUAGGCAGCAUUAUAUUAUAAUUUCAUAAGCAUAAAUCCUUUGAAUAAAUUUCAGAAGAAUAACUGAAUUAGAAAUGCAAGUAAAGUAUCUAAAAAACUUCACUGUCCUAGGCAGAGGAGGAGAUGUGAGAAGCAGAGGGAAAGAGAGAAUUCCUCUCUGGCGACCUUCCCUGGGUUACCAGGGACCUGGGACAAGGUCUGGCUCAGGGAAAGACAGUUCUUAACCCUACUCUGAGCCCAGUGGCAAAUAAAAUAGCCCCCUCUCCUCUUCCCACUGGUAUGUUCCGAGGAAUUCGAGUCGUAAUUCAUCAUAAAUUAAUUUUGGAGAAACAACAGGCUUGGGGCACGUUAUAAUUAUUGUUAUUUGUUUAUUUAUUAUCACGUUAACCGUUAUUUAUUAUUAUGUUACGCAUAUGUGAGACCACAAAGGCUGCUCCCCGCAGUUUCCUGGCAACACGGCCGUGAGUUCUUCACACGCAAGUUACCAAGUGCGCGGCUCCGAGAAGGGCGGGUGGGAGGAGCUGGACGCGGUUUGGGGUCCCCGGCUUCUGCGCUUUCCUGAGGGGACCCAGUGGGACGGCCGGUCCGGAUGAAGAGUCUGUCUGGCACUGCGGCGACGGUUCAUGAUCUGCACAGCAGAUCGUCUGCAAACAAAGACCAUUUAGAGGCAAAGCUCUGGCCCCGAGAAAGACGCCAGGGGCUGGCUCAAGUUCAAGGAGGAAGAGGGCCCUUCUUGGUGUUCUGGGCAGCCGGCCACAGACACCUUCCAUCCCACCAGGCCACUCAGGGAGGAGGAGAUCGUGUUCCUCUGUGCAUCCGCCCCAGUUCACAGAGCAGUACUGACUCACAGGAGUGCUUCACUGAAGCCCACGCUUUAUUCGGGGUUCUCUAGUCUUUACCUAAAAUCCGUCUCUACCCCGGACCCCAGCCGGGACACCCCAUGGCCCUCAAUCCUCAGUUCUCCUUAGACUCCUCUUGGUGGUGAUGGAUUCUCAGACUUUCCUGUGUUGAAUGACCUUGACCUUGGCUGUUCUGAGGAGGACCGGCAGGAACACUGAAGAAUUGGAGUUUGAUGUUUUUCUCAUAGUGGGUUGAGUGGAGACUGCACCUGUGAUGGAGGUCGAGCGCUUUCAUCCCAUCCCAUCAAGGGUGCAUCGGGUCAACGUAACCGAGCAUGGUUAAACGUGAUGACCUGGCUGAAGCAGUGUCUGCCAGGUUUCUCCACUGUAAAACUGCCUUACCCCUUUCCAUACCUUUUGGAAGAAGUCAUUAUGAGCAGCCCACGUGGCCAAAGUGGGGAGCUGUGCUUCCCCUCUUCAAGGGCAGGGGAUCUACAUAAGUUAUUUGGAAGUCUGCACAGAAAACUUGUCACUCUCCCUCCAAUUAUUUAUUUCCUCAGUCAUUUCUAUCAGAAUAGGCUGGCUCUAUACUUUGAGUUAUUUUCCAAUGCUAUCUUACUUUGUUGCUCAAAUUGCUCUAGCUUUAGCCACUGGGGGUUCUUUCCAUUGCCUCCUAUGUCCCUUUAAAAUGUCCCCAUUAUGGCGGCAUCCUGGGUGUUUUGGUUUGGCUUGGUUUGGACACUUCCUUGCUUUCUGCUCCAGGCUCAUCUUGUUUACUCCCCUCCCAGUCCCAGAAUUAAGCAUUUCUUCACAGAACCCGGGAUCCUUGUAUGGAAGACUGGGAUUAGCAACCACUAUCUGGUGCUGGGUUUCAAGACUCUCCUACAUUGACGCUUGCUUCCAGUAUAAAAUAAAGGUAUUAUAACAUAUAACACAGUCUGAAUUUAAAAUAAAUCUAGUAUUAAAAAUAAUGCUACAAUGAAUGAACCAUCAGGCACCAUUUCUUAGGCACUAGAGAGAUGGUUACUGAGGGGAAACUGCUAGAGAUCCAUCAGAUCUGCCCUGCCUUCUUCCCAAUCACAAAUCUGGACUGCGGUGCCUGCUUUCCACAGCUGGGAGUGGUCGGUGACUACGCACUCCUCAGUGGAACGGGAGAGGAAGCCCGAUGCACC